UGGGGAAUAUUGGACAAUGGGCGCAAGCCUGAUCCAGCCAUGCCGCGUGAGUGAUGAAGGCCCUAGGGUUGUAAAGCUCUUUCACCGGUGAAGAUAAUGACGGUAACCGGAGAAGAAGCUCCGGCUAACUUCGUGCCAGCAGCCGCGGUAAUACGAAGGGGGCUAGCGUUGUUCGGAUUUACUGGGCGUAAAGCGCACGUAGGCGGACUAUUAAGUCAGGGGUGAAAUCCCGGGGCUCAACCCCGGAACUGCCUUUGAUACUGGUAGUCUUGAGUUCGAGAGAGGUGAGUGGAAUUCCGAGUGUAGAGGUGAAAUUCGUAGAUAUUCGGAGGAACACCAGUGGCGAAGGCGGCUCACUGGCUAGAUACUGACGCUGAGGUGCGAAAGCGUGGGGAGCAAACAGG
rnacentral:rRNA from 1 species